UAAGGGGUAGGUCAGUGGUAGAGCACUUGCCUAAGAAGCAAGAUGCCUUUGGUUCAAUUCCCCAGCUCUGAA
rnacentral:tRNA from 1 species